CAGUAGCCGCGGUAACACAGAGGGUGCGAGCGUUAAUCGGAUUUACUGGGCGUAAAGCGUGCGUAGGCGGCUUCUUAAGUCGGAUGUGAAAUCCCUGAGCUUAACUUAGGAAUUGCAUUCGAUACUGGGAAGCUAGAGUAUGGGAGAGGAUGGUAGAAUUCCAGGUGUAGCGGUGAAAUGCGUAGAGAUCUGGAGGAAUACCGAUGGCGAAGGCAGCCAUCUGGCCUAAUACUGACGCUGAGGUACGAAAGCAUGGGGAGCAAACAGGAUUAGAUACCCGUUAGUCCCUGUCUCUUAUACA
rnacentral:rRNA from 1 species